GACGAACGCUGGCGGCGUGCCUAAUACAUGCAAGUCGAGCGAGUCUGCCUUGAAGAUCGGAGUGCUUGCACUCUGUGAAACAAGAUACAGGCUAGCGGCGGACGGGUGAGUAACACGUGGGUAACCUGCCCAAGAGAUCGGGAUAACACCUGGAAACAGAUGCUAAUACCGGAUAACAACAGAUGAUGCCUAUCAACUGUUUAAAAGAUGGUUCUGCUAUCACUCUUGGAUGGACCUGCGGUGCAUUAGCUAGUUGGUAGGGUAACGGCCUACCAAGGCGAUGAGGCGUAGCCGAGGGGAGAGACUGGUCGGCGACCUGGGGAGGGAAACACGGUCCAAACUCCUACGGGAGGCAGCAGUAGGGAAUCUUACACAAUGGACGGAAGUCUGAUGGAGCAACGCCGCGUGAGUGAAGAAGGGGUUCGGCUCGUAAAGCUCUGUUGUUGGUGAAGAAGGACAGGGGUAGUAACUGACCUUUGUUUGACGGUAAUCAAUUAGAAAGUCACGGCUAACUACGUG
rnacentral:rRNA from 1 species